GCCGGUGUGUCGGAACUGGCAGACGAGACAGACUCAAAAUCUGUUAUCCGUAGGGGUGUGUGGGUUCGAGUCCCACCACCGGCACCA
rnacentral:tRNA from 1 species